CAGGAUUAGAUACCCUGGUAGUCCACGCCGUAAACGGUGGGCGCUAGUUGUGCGAACCUUCCACGGUUUGUGCGACGCAGCUAACGCAUUAAGCGCCCCGCCUGGGGAGUACGAUCGCAAGAUUAAAACUCAAAGGAAUUGACGGGGCCCCGCACAAGCAGCGGAGCAUGCGGCUUAAUUCGACGCAACGCGAAGAACCUUACCAAGGCUUGACAUAUACAGGAAUAUGGCAGAGAUGUCAUAGCCGCAAGGUCUGUAUACAGGUGGUGCAUGGUUGUCGUCAGCUCGUGUCGUGAGAUGUUGGGUUGAGUCCCGCAACGAGCGCAACCCUCGUUCUGUGUUGCCAGCAUUUAGUUGGGGACUCACAGGAGACUGCCGGGGUUAACUCGGAGGAAGGUGGGGAUGACGUCAAAUCAUCAUGCCCCUUAUGUCUUGGGCUGCACGCAUGCUACAAUGGCUGGUACAAACGGCUGCAAUACCGCAAGGUGGAGCGAAUCCGAGAAAGCCAGUCUCAGUUCGGAUUGGGGUCUGCAACUCGACCCCAUGAAGUCGGAGUUGCUAGUAAUCGUAGAUCAGCAACGCUACGGUGAAUACGUUCCCGGGGCUUGUACACACCGCCCGUCACAUCACGAAAGUCGGUAACACCCAAAAGUCAGUGGCCCAACC
rnacentral:rRNA from 1 species